rnacentral:tRNA from 1 species
GGAGGGUUGGCAGAGUGGUUGAAUGCGGCGGAUUUGAAAUCCGUUGGUGGCUUGGUCCACCCAGGGGUUCGAAUCCUCUACCCUCCG